GACCGGACCGGACCGAAAAAAAUUCGGUCUCCUUUUCUGGGCUCGGACCGGCUAGUUUUCCUGUCGGGCCUGGACCGUACGGGCCGGUCCUAAACGGGCCACGAGCGGGCCGGAAAGCCCGCUCGUGCCGUCCAGGCUGACCUACGGCAUAGCCUCCAAGUUCUAGACAACAUUGUCUUGAGAUGGAAAGCAAGAAGCAUGUCUUUUGCUGUUAGUUGAACUCCAGUUCCUUCCCUAAUGGCAAGAACAAGCUCAACUGGGACGCCAUGGAGCUUCCUCCGACCUGACCUUAUUGCAGCAGCAGCUGCUCCUCCUCAAGGUGCACGCCUGCCUGAUGGACCCAACAUCCACCACUAGAUACCUCCAAACACCAGGGUUAGUUGUUGCUGGCCGCACACUGGCGCCGAGACACGCACAAGUUCGGCUCUUCCUGCUACUGCCCUUGCUCCGACGGCAUAGGUGGGCUAAAGGUCAUGGCUCAGUGGACUACCGCCUCCUCGGUGACCACAUCAGCUUCCCCCCGCCAUGAGAUGAAAGUCAUUUGGUUUUGACCAUGAUGGUUUCUUUGUUCUGUGUGCGGCUUUACCUGGAUUUAAUGUUGGAAUCCCUGCUUGCCCCACAGAUCUGCGCCUCUACCUAUAUGCUUGGAUGGUGACUGAACUGGUCGGUGGUGGAAAGCAUCAUAACCUCUAUGCCAGGAUACUAUGGCUUGGCGGGUUACCUCCUUGGCAACUACCUUGGCUCCCCCCGUGGCACAAUGAUGAUGUUUUGGAUGCAACCAGGGUGGUGGUUGCCACCUCUUCUUCUGUUCUGUGAAGCAGUUCUUCAAUGUUGGAAUGCCCGCUUGAGGUAGUGAUCCAUGGUUGUGCGCCAGCAUUGAGGGGACGAUGGUGGCUGUGUUCUCCCUGUCCGGCUAACACAACUCGGAGAACUACAUCGACUUCUUGUUUCUGUGAAGCAGUUCUUCAGUGUUGGAAUCCCCCUUGGCUUUGCGCCAACAUCGACGAGAUGACAGCUGAUGUGUUGUAAUCUCCUUGUUUGGCUACCACAGCUCGGAGGGACUAUCUCAGCUUCUUGUUUCUGGUCAUGUUCAAACCUUGUGCAAAACCAAGGCAGAAAGUGCCGAAACAAAGUCUGGCAAAACGGCAAGGAACCGGAGUUUUAGUUUGCACAACACACGGAGUUGUGUACUGAGAACAAGUGCCUCAUAAAACCACAUGUCUUUGCUGACGUUCCUGGUGGCUAUUUGGGCUAGCUAUGUAUGUAUGCGAGAUAGAUAGCUGGUCUGUUUUCAGAUUCUAUGAAGAAUGCAUGUUGUGAAUGAGGAUAAAUGAAAUAAAAUUCUUCACUUUGGCCGAUUCAUGAUUGGCUGAGUGAGAGACAUUUUGGUUAUGCAAAUGGUUGGCUAGCUGGUUUUCACAGCUUCCCUUUUUUCCUUUC